rnacentral:piRNA from 1 species
UACUCUAGCUUGGGCCAGAGAAGA